AUUGAACGCUGGCGGCGUGCUUAACACAUGCAAGUCGAUCGGUAACAGGUGUAGCAAUACAUGCUGACGAGAGGCGGACGGGUGAGGAAUAUUUGGGAAUCUGCCCAUCAGCGGGGGACAACCCGGGGAAACCCGGGCUAAUACCGCAUACGCUCUACGGAGGAAAGCCGGGGACCGCAAGGCCUGGCACUGAUGGAUGAGCCCAAAUCGGAUUAGCUAGUUGGCGGGGUAACGGCCCACCAAGGCGACGACCCGUAGCUGGUCUGAGAGGACGAUCCGCCACACCGGAACUGAGACACGGUCCGGACUCCUACGGGAGGCAGCAGUGGUGAAUAGUGGACAAUGGGGGAAACCCUGAACCCGCGACGCCGCGUGGGUGAAGGAGGCCUGCGGGUUGUAAAGCCCUUUCGGUAGGGACGAAAGCUCUUGCUCCAACAAAGCAGGAGGUUGACUUAACCUACAUAAGAAGCACCGGCUAACUCUGUGCCAGCAGCCGCGGUAACAC
rnacentral:rRNA from 1 species